AAGAAAUAACAAUGAUUCCCUCAGUACGCGAGUGAACAGGGAAAAGCUCAAAGUUGGAACCUCCUGGCCCUAGGUCUGGCGGAUUGUAAACUAAAGCUCUCGAGUAGUUCGGCUAGCCUGGUAAAAAAGUUCUCUGGAAAGGGACGACAUGGAGGGUGAAAUCCCCGUCUUUGGCCAGAGCAUAGUCCAACGUUUGCUUGGAAGUGAAGAGUCAGGUUGUUUGGUAUUGCAGCCUAAAGCUGGAGGUAAAUCUCUCCUAAAGCUAAAUAUUGACGAAAGACCGAUAGCGAACAAGUACCGUGAGGGAAAGAUGAAAAGCACUUUGAAAAGAGGGUCAAAAAGUACGUGAAAUUGCUGAAAGGGAACCGUAUGAAAUCAGCCUGUCUCUUUGGUAAUCAACCUGGAAUUCGUUCUGGGUGCACUUGCCGGUGAGUCAGCCUGCGACAAUUUGACUYGGGGGAAAAAAUCGGGGGGAAUGUGGCCUCGGCUUCGGUCGUGGUGUUAUAGCCCUUUGAAAAAUACCCUGGGUUGGAUUGAGGACUGCAGCGAGCCUUUGGGAUGAACUGUGGGYGCUUGGCUUUGCCUUGAAAGAAAUCU
rnacentral:rRNA from 1 species